rnacentral:rRNA from 1 species
CCAGACUCCUACGGGAGGCAGCAGUGAGGAAUAUUGGUCAAUGGCCGCAGGGCUGAACCAGCCAAGUCGCGUGAGGGAUGACGGUCCUAUGGGUUGUAAACCUCUUUUGUCGGGGAGCAAAAGCCGGACGUGUCCGGCUGUGAGAGUACCCGAAGAAAAAGCAUCGGCUAACUCCGUGCCAGCAGCCGCGGUAAUACGGAGGAUGCGAGCGUUAUCCGGAUUUAUUGGGUUUAAAGGGUGCGCAGGCGGAUUUUUAAGUCAGCGGUCAAAUCGUGGGGCUCAACCCCGUACUGCCGUUGAAACUGCAUCCCUUGAGUGCGCGAGAAGUAUGCGGAAUGCGUGGUGUAGCGGUGAAAUGCAUAGAUAUCACGCAGAACUCCGAUUGCGAAGGCAGCAUACCGGCGCGCAACUGACGCUCAUGCACGAAAGCGUGGGUAUCGAACAGGAUUAGAUACCCCAGUA